rnacentral:rRNA from 5 species
AGACCCGAAACCCGGUGAUCUAGCCAUGGGCAGGUUGAAGGUUGGGUAACACUAACUGGAGGACCGAACCGACUAAUGUUGAAAAAUUAGCGGAUGACCUGUGGCUGGGGGUGAAAGGCCAAUCAAACCGGGAGAUAGCUGGUUCUCCCCGAAAGCUAUUUAGGUAGCGCCUCGUGAAUUCAUCUCCGGGGGUAGAGCACUGUUUCGGCUAGGGGGCCAUCCCGGCUUACCAACCCGAUGCAAACUGCGAAUACCGGAGAAUGUUAUCACGGGAGACACACGGCGGGUGCUAACGUCCGUCGUGAAGAGGGAAACAACCCAGACCGCCAGCUAAGGUCCCAAAGUCAUGGUUAAGUGGGAAACGAUGUGGGAAGGCCCAGACAGCCAGGAUGUUGGCUUAGAAGCAGCCAUCAUUUAAAGAAAGCGUAAUAGCUCACUGGUCGAGUCGGCCUGCGCGGAAGAUGUAACGGGGCUAAACCAUGCACCGAAGCUGCGGCAGCGAACGUAUCACCCAAGACAACUUUACGGAGUUGACGAUUGACGGAGCGAAGCGACGUCAAAGCGUUCAUUAAAGUCGAGUUGGCUUAGGGAUACGUUCGUUGGGUAGGGGAGCGUUCUGUAAGCCUGUGAAGGUGUGUCGUGAGGCAUGCUGGAGGUAUCAGAAGUGCGAAUGCUGACAUAAGUAACGAUAAAGCGGGUGAAAAGCCCGCUCGCCGGAAGACCAAGGGUUCCUGUCCAACGUUAAUCGGGGCAGGGUGAGUCGACCCCUAAGGCGAGGCCGAAAGGCGUAGUCGAUGGGAAACGGGUUAAUAUUCCCGUACUUGGUGUUACUGCGAAGGGGGGACGGAGAAGGCUAUGUUGGCCGGGCGACGGUUGUCCCGGUUUAAGCGUGUAGGUGUGUGUUCCAGGUAAAUCCGGUUCACUUUAACACUGAGGCGUGACGACGAGGCACUACGGUGCUGAAGCAACAAAUGCCCUGCUUCCAGGAAAAGCCUCUAAGCAUCAGGUAACAUCAAAUCGUACCCCAAACCGACACAGGUGGUCAGGUAGAGAAUACCAAGGCGCUUGAGAGAACUCGGGUGAAGGAACUAGGCAAAAUGGUGCCGUAACUUCGGGAGAAGGCACGCUGACACGUAGGUGAAGUGAUUUACUCA